rnacentral:rRNA from 1 species
GGAUUUAUUGGGUUUAAAGGGUGCGUAGGCGGUCUGGUAAGUCAGCGGUGAAUUUCCGAGCUCAACUUGGAACGUGCCGUUGAUACUGUCGGACUAGAAUGCGGAUGCCGGGGAGGAAUGUGUGGUGUAGCGGUGAAAUGCAUAGAUAUCACACAGAACACCGAUUGCGAGGCAUCUCACGAAUCCGCAAUUGACGCUGAGGCACGAAAGCGUGGGGAUCAAACAGGAUUGAUACCCUGGUAGUCCACGCUGUAAACGAUGAUGACUAACCGUCGGCGAUACACAGUCGGGGCCAAGCGAAAGCGAUAAGUCAUCCACCUGGGGAGUACGACCGCAAGGUUGAAACUCAAGGAAUUGACGGGGGCCCGCACAAGCGGAGGAACAUGUGGUUUAAUUCGAUGAUACGCGAGAACCUUACCCGGGCUCGAACGGCAGGGGAAUCACUCAGAGAUGGGUGAGUCUUCGGACUCUGUCGAGGUGCUGCAUGGUUGUCGUCAGCUCGUGCUGUGAAGUGUCGGCUUAAGUGCCAUACGAGCGCAACCCUUGCCAUUAGUUGCCAUCAGGUUAAGCUGGGGACUCUAGUGGGACUGCACCGCAAGGUGUGAGGAAGGGGGGGAUGACGUCAAAUCAGCACGGCCCUUACGUCCGGGCGACACACGUGUUACAAUGGUGGGUACAGAGGGAAGCUACCUGGCGACAGGAUGCAGAUCCGAAAACCCAUCCCAGUUCGGAUUGGAGUCUGCAACCCGACUCCAUGAAGUUGGAUUCGCAGUAAUCGCGCACCAGCCAUGGCGCGGUGAAUACGUUCCCGGGCCUUGCACACACCGCCU